CUCCAUGUCGUGUUCGAUUGGUGCUAGAGCCCCGGGUUACAGGAUAUGGACCCGGGGCUCUAGCACCAAUCGAACACGACAUAGAG
rnacentral:pre_miRNA from 1 species